AUGAGUGCUCUAAGUUGGAACUGCCGAGGGCUUGGGAACCCUUGGGCAGUUCGAGAGCUUCGCAAAGUUGUGAAGCAAGAAUCUCCCGCCCUUUUGUUUGUCAUGGAAACCAAAAUCAAGGGCAAAUGUGUGGACGAUUUGAAAUUUACUUUAGGCUUUUUAGGAUGUUUUGCUGUCGAUAGCGACGUGCUGAGUGGAGGAAUCGGCCUCUUUUGGUCAAAGGAGGUUGUGGUUUCUUUGGAAAGAUUCAGUUUAUCUCAUAUUGAUGUAAAAGUCAAGAAAGAAAAUAAGAGUUGGCGCUUCACGGGUUUCUACGGCGAGCCCAGAGUGGCCAAUAGACAUCACAACUAG
rnacentral:rRNA from 1 species